UACGUAGGGUGCGAGCGUAAUCGGAAUUACUGGGCGUAAAGCGUGCGCAGGCGGUGAUGUAAGACAGAUGUGAAAUCCCCGGGCUCAACCUGGGAACUGCAUUUGUGACUGCAUCGCUGGAGUGCGGCAGAGGGGGAUGGAAUUCCGCGUGUAGCAGUGAAAUGCGUAGAUAUGUGGAGGAAUACCGAUGGCGAAGGCAGCCCCCUGGGAUAACACUGACGCUCAUGCACGAAAGCGUGGGGAGCAAACAGGA
rnacentral:rRNA from 1 species